rnacentral:rRNA from 1 species
GAUGAACGCUGGCGGCGUGCCUAAUACAUGCGAGUCGAGCGAACAGAUAAGGAGCUUGCUCCUUUGACGUUAGCGGCGGACGGGUGAGUUACACGUGGAUAACCUGCCUAUAAGACUGGGAUAACUUCGGGAAACCGGAGCUAAUACCGGAUAACAUAUUGAACCGCAUGGUUCAAUAGUGAAAGGCGGCUUUGCUGUCACUUAUAGAUGGAUCCGCGCCGUAUUAGCUAGUUGGUAAGGUAACGGCUUACCAAGGCAACGAUACGUAGCCGACCUGAGAGGGUGAUCGGCCACACUGGAACUGAGACACGGUCCAGACUCCUACGGGAGGCAGCAGUAGGGAAUCUUCCGCAAUGGGCGAAAGCCUGACGGAGCAACGCCGCGUGAGUGAUGAAGGUCUUCGGAUCGUAAAACUCUGUUAUCAGGGAAGAACAAAUGUGUAAGUAACUGUGCACAUCUUGACGGUACCUGAUCAGAAAGCCACGGCUAACUACGUG